rnacentral:snRNA from 1 species
ACUCAUACCUGGCAGGGGAAAUGCCAUUGUUAUAACAGUGGUUUUCCUAGAGUAAAGCUCAUUUAUUGUACUCUGGAUAUGCUGACUUCUAUGAUUUUCCCAAAUGUGGGGAAAUCAACUGCCUAAAUGGAAGACUGUGUUUGUGGUUUCCCC